GCCGCGGUAGCUCAAUGGCAGAGCGCCUGCUUCGUAAGCAGGAGGUUGUGGGUUCGAAACCCACCCGAGGCU
rfam:Candidatus Parvarchaeum acidophilus ARMAN-5 ARM5contig_1584, whole genome shotgun sequence.